rnacentral:lncRNA from 1 species
UUCAUCUUUUGUGUGUUGUAGUGUAAAUGUAAACAAUUCUUUCAAAGUUGUUAUUGUUCUUCCACUAAUAGCUGCCUUUAUCCUAAGGGAGGGGAUUUUGGAUUUAAUCUUUCACCUUAUGACUUCUUAUGGUAUAUUCCCAUUCAUUGAAUCAAUAGAAAAUUCUUGUGUGAUUUUUUUUUUUUUAAUCAAAACGCUUUUCAACCAGCUUAAAACCAUGAAGUGCUGACCAAGAUGGCAAGUAAGAUCUACAUAUGGUAGUUCUUAAGUACGUAUACUGAUGUUCAAAAUACUUGUAAUAAAGGCAUCUAUUUUUCUUAUGUUUCCUCCUUCUUUCCAUUCUGUCCCCAAGACUCUUUUCUGGUACUGGUUAAAUACUAUGACAAGAAGUGCUGCAGUGUCAGAAGAUCUCAGUUGUACUUCUUUGUCAAAUAUGCUUUUGUUGCUGUUUCUAAUCAGACUAAUCACUUACAGUUGUGCACCUCAAACGUAGAGGGUGCUUGUCUGCUUUUCUAAUAACAGUUAGCAAGAAUGACUUUUUAUAUACUCUGUCAGUACUUUUCUAUGUAUAUCCUAUGAAAAAUAAGAUGAAGUGGGAUGCCUUUAUUUCAUUUGAAGAAAACUGCCUCAAAAUAUCAAUACUGGAACUAUGGUGUUCUAACGUUUAUUCCUUGAUCGCUUGUUUACUGACAGACCUGGAGUGAGUAAAUUAAGGGAAAGAGAUUAGACUAUUAAAUUUGAAAUUGUUUUCCUGCUUCUUGCUUUCUGACUGUAGUAUAUUCUUGGCUUGCUGAAAUAGGCAUUUGCUCUUAAAUACCGUGUGUAUAUGUUUGUAUAUGUAAUAAUGGUCAAAAAACACCUGCAUCAGCUUAAGAGAAUUUAACAAUUCAUGACAUUUUUGUUGACUGUUAAGAUGCUCUGUUGUUCAUUUAUUUUAUUUUUCACUUAAAUCCCUGACUUCUGAAACAAAUUCCAGUGAACACUUUUUUUUUAAACUUUUUU